AUACAUUCUAAUGAAACUGUCGUACAAAAACCUCUGUUACACUACAGUGACCACACACACACACACACACACACACACACACACACACACACACACACACACACACACUUUGCAUUAGCAGCUCAUGCUUCAGUGCUCUGAGAGACUUUAUAGCUCUGUGACUUUAACACUUCAUGACUGAAAGCUGCUGCUCAGCGACUUCACCCACAGCAACCAUGAGUUUGAUCUUCAUCUUCAUCUGCACACUGGCCCUCUGCACUCGAGGAUCCAGAGGUCAGGUGACUGUGACUCAGAGUCCUGCAGUAAAAUCUGUUUCUCCAGGAGACACGCUCACUAUCAGCUGUAAAACCAGUUCUGAUGUUGAUAAUGACUGUGGUGGUGACUCUGACUGUUUAGCCUGGUAUCAGCAGAAACCUGAAGAAGCUCCUAAACUCCUGAUCUAUAAUGCUGAUGAACGAGAAUCAGGAGUUCCAGAUCGUUUCAGUGGCAGUGGAUCUGGAUCUGAUUUCACUCUGACCAUCAGUGGAGUCCAGACUGAAGAUGCUGGAGAUUAUUACUGUCAGAGUAUACACACAAUCAGUGAUAGCUUGGUGUUCACACAGUGUUAGAGGGUCGUACAAAAACCUCAGUGUGUGACUGCUGCAGCUGGGACCUACUGCAGGUGCUGAGAGGAACCAUGUGAUACACCAUCACACACACACACACACACACACACACACACACACACACACACACACACAUUGAGUUUUUGAAUGCUGUAUGAUUUACAGCCACUAGGUGUCAGUAAAGUAAAAAAACAAGAAACUUCAUACCAUACACAUACCAACAGAAAUUUAUUUAUUUUCUAAAUUAUAAUGUAUUUUUUAUUUAUUUAUUUGAAGCCAGCUCAUUGAACCAGUAAACAAAAAUCUAAAAAUAAGGAAUCUACAUUUUUUUUACAUAAAACAGGAAUAACAAAUCGUACCCAGAUCCAUGCAAGAUUAUUCAUGAAUAAAACACCAACACUAUGUAAACAGGAAUUUUGGUUUCUAUAUUUUGGAUAAUUAUGUACAGGUCUAUUAAUAAUACAUACUCAGAUAUUUUUACUGUGCAAAAAUGGCCAAAAACAUGAAAAACUGUAGCUCUGACUUCAAAAAAUAAAUAUGCAGACCGCAUUUUAUUCCCACAGAACUAUUCAUUAUCACAUUCAGUCAGCUAUGACUAUUAGCAUGACAUUUCUGAUGCUAAUCAGCAAUCGAGUAAAUUGAAAACAUGUGCUGCAAGGAAGAGUUGUUGGGGUCUGUAGUCCAUUGCAGCCAUGUUUCUAUGCUGUGGUGCAUUUUGGGAAGUGGAGUACUUGGUGGAUUCCAGUGUUGGCAUGACAGAACACCUCCACAGUGAUAUUCAGCAAACAUUCCACCUAAUCCAUGUGUCUACUGCAGAUAAAUCUGUUUUCAUUACAGAGGGAUUAGAGGUCACUGGUUACCUAGAAAACACUGAAAGGGUGUCAGCUGCAUGGUUACGUUGCAUAGAAAGUCCCUCAGCCUAAGGGAGAACCGAGCCCCAUCUUUAGACCUGUUCACAGAAAGCACUCAAUCUGCUGAUUUGCCUGUUCUAACUGGUGCCUGGUUAUAAGGUUUUAUAAGACUUUAGUAAGUACUUUUUAUGUCGGUGCACAAACUGUUUCUCAAAAAAGUCUUCUCCACACCGUAAACAUGAAGAGCACUGGAGUAGAACAUUAUUGCACAGUUAAGUCUCUCCCAUGGUUCCAGAGGCAAAAGCAGCAGAAGUUCUGAUUCCAGCAUGGCCAGGUGGUGCUGGUGUUUCUCAACUUGCUUUUCCAGGGCUGCCAUGAUGGUGUGCCAGUUUAUUUCUCCUGUUGCAUCCAUGAUAUUAAGUCUUAAUGUCAUGUAAUGGAGUUGCAGAUUUGGAUUUACAGGAUUGGUAUUAAACUGGCAGGUAAAUCCAUGAUGUAAAGCAGACUUGAAGACAGGGACAGACAGUAGGGCAAGUGAUUAGCAAAAGAAAUAAGAUGCAAGAUCCAAAAAUACAAAGACCAGGAAGAAAAAAAGAUCAGAAUGAAGAUAGAAAGACUUUGCAAGUCAUGAAGGUAUACACUAAGGAUUAGUUCACAAAGAGUGGAUGAGGAAGUGUAUACAGGGUGCUGGAGUGACUGGAAACAGGUGGGUCUAAUCAGUAUCUGUGUGUGAAGG